UGAAAUCAGUUUUCUGGUUUUGUCAUUUGUGCAGUUUAUAGUACCAACCAUCAGUUCGGCCAAGUCUGCUUCUAGUCCACAAAUUAUUAUCUCUAUAAAGAGGUAAUAACCUAGUUAAAUCUUCGAAAUUCUCUAAUAUCCAUGACAUUUUGUUUAAGCUUUACUGUUUAAGUUACUAUGACACUCUGCAGUGUGAAUUUGUAUUGUCAUUUAUCGUGCUUGACUGUUCAAAUUUUUAGUCAGAAAACAAAUAAGUUUCUUAAUCGGGAUAUCGUAGUUGAUUAUUUUAGUUAGUAUGAUCUGUUUUCUUCUCAAACAUAAUCCUUAGUAGCAACAAGUAUCCCGCAAGAUGACAAUAAAUCAGAGGCAGUAGUCCAUCUAUAGAACCAUCUGUUUCUUUGUUGUAAUUUGAUUCUAAGGAAUUGAAGUGUUUCAUUUCUGUAUCUGAUUCAUGCUGUAACAUGUAAUGUCGAAUGUUUCAGAUUCAGUGAACAUGG
rnacentral:lncRNA from 1 species